GACGAACGCUGGCGGCGUGCCUAAUACAUGCAAGUCGAACGCUGAAGGAGGAGCUUGCUCUUCUGGAUGAGUUGCGAACGGGUGAGUAACGCGUAGGUAACCUGCCUGGUAGCGGGGGAUAACUAUUGGAAACGAUAGCUAAUACCGCAUGACAACAGCUAUUGCAUGAUAACUGUUUAAAAGGGGCAACUGCUCCACUACCAGAUGGAGCUGCGGUGUAUUAGCUAGUUGGUGUGGUAACGGCGCACUUAGGCGAGGAUACAGAGUCGACGGGAGAGGGGGGGCGGCCAGACUGGGAAGGAGACACGGCCCAGUGGCGUCCGGGAGACAGCCGUAGGGAAUCUGCGGGAAUGGACGGAAGACUGACCGAGCAAGGCCGCAUGAGUGAAGAAGGAUCGCGGAUCGUGAAGGUCUGUUGUAAGGGUAGAAAGAGUGUGAGAGUGGAAAGUACGCACUGUGACGGUAACUGACCAGAAAGGGACGGCUAACUACGUU
rnacentral:rRNA from 1 species